rnacentral:rRNA from 1 species
GACAGAGGGUGCAAACGUUGCUCGGAAUCACUGGGCGUAAAGGGUGCGUAGGCGGCGCGGUAAGUCGGGUGUGAAAUCUUGGAGCUUAACUCCGAAACUGCAUUCGAUACUGCCGUGCUUGAGGACUGGAGAGGAGACUGGAAUUUACGGUGUAGCGGUGAAAUGCGUAGAUAUCGUAAGGAAGACCAGUGGCGAAGGCGGGGUCUCUGGACAGUUCCUGACGCUGAGGCACGAAGGCCAGGGGAGCAAACGGG